rnacentral:lncRNA from 10 species
ACGCGCUCUCCUUUUAUGAGCUGGUCGCGGGAAGUUUUGCAGAAAUCGAGUUCAGGCCUCCGGGAUAAGAAGGGGUGGAUUUCCAGGGACCAAGCAAAGAAACCACCGACCCUUACACUACGCGGCCAGCCGGCGAGCCCUUCGCUUUCGGCCGGUGCAGAGCGGCCUCCUCUCCCCCGCUGUCCUCUCCCGGCUGCAGGUGAGCGCGGCCACUCCUUCCCCGGGGUCUUCACGGCGGUCUAGGCCUCGCCAGGGUGCUGGAGCGGGGACGCGCAGAGGCCGCGCGGGCCCGUUUGCCGCGCGCGCCCGCCGCUCCAGCUCUGCGCGUCCCCGGAGGCCCGCGCGUACACGGGGAAGGCGGCCCGGGCUGGUCUUGCUCGGCUUCGUGACGCGUGAAAUGUAACGGGGCCACCGAAAUGCAUGUAUUUCAACAGUGUCAAGUUCAAGCUGCAAACUGAAAACUCCUACAUUUUGUUGAAGCAUGGCCGCCCUUUUGUCUGUUCCCUGUCAGCGUAAACAUCUCCGUUUGCGACUUAAACAUUAAUUGUUCCUGGUAUUAAUGCCUUCAGAAAUAAUUUUUGUGUAGUAAAUCUUUCGUGUGGACAAUAUUGUAAGAAUAUAUAUUAUAUUUUACUUUUUCUACUAAAACGCUUGAAUUUAGUAGAGAAUAGAAUAAGCCUGCAACACUUCCCAUCAAGGCGGAAAAGGAGAAAACCUCUUUUACAAUAGUAUGACUGUUAAACCUGAAAAAAAAGAAUGAUGAGAAAGAUUGAAUGUGAAGCUGCUACCAUACUUUGCUUCAACUUUCUACUUUCAACGUCCCCUACCUUUUAUUUCCCCAAAUGCAAAGCCCUCUCAAAAUAGUUUCCUUCUAUUUUAUUACUUUGAGAAAUAAUCAUAGUUUCAUCAUAAUAAUUAUUGUUUUGGCUUGGACUACAGAAAAUUGAAAGACAGUUUUGAAGAAAAGUGUAAGAACUAAUACAUCUUAUUCCUGUGGAUAUAUUGUUUUAUAUUCGUUAUGUUUCAGCUCAGUUGACAUAUUAAUAAAG